UACGGGGGGGGCAAGCGUUGUUCGGAAUUACUGGGCGUAAAGGGCUCGUAGGCGGCCAACUAAGUCAGACGUGAAAUCCCUCGGCUUAACCGGGGAACUGCGUCUGAUACUGGAUGGCUUGAGGUUGGGAGAGGGAUGCGGAAUUCCAAGUGUAGCGGUGAAAUGCGUAGAUAUCUGGAGGAACACCGGUGGCGAAGGCGGCAUCCUGGACCAAUUCUGACGCUGAGGAGCGAAAGCCAGGGGAGCAAACGGG
rnacentral:rRNA from 1 species